GACUGCGGAAGGAUCAUUAUUGAAU
rnacentral:rRNA from 1 species